GUGAGUGCGAUGCUAUAACCUCCUUAGAGUGGGGCUGGGCAAGGAAGGAAUUUUGUUUAGCUUAUGAAAUGUAUCAUUUUCAUUUGUUUCAUAAUCCUCGAGGGUCGUUAGUAACCCUCUUCAUGUCACCAAAUAGGAGCGUAUUUUCAGGAACUCUAGCAAUAGAUGAGCAAGUCUCCAAUUAAUUUUUUUCCCACAUCAACCCUAACAAUUGCAAAUGCCAACAGUCUACAGUAGGUUGUGUAUUAGAAACAGAAAUCAAUUUUUAGCUUGCGAGGAAUUGAGUGCAAAGAAUAAGAUGUUUAAAACUGUUGGAGGGCUCGGGGGAGCGGAGUGUAGACUGACUGGCAGGGAAACUACUGAUUCUUCCUGGGUUGGCGAGGUGAGGAUUCAGAAGGCUGCCUUCGGAAAACUAAGAAGACCACAGCAGUACUACUGGCAGUCCGGGAAUCCCGAAUCCACAACUACCAUAGCCAACUCUUAACACACUUGACGCUGGUGGUUUAGAUCCCCAGAAACAUGGAAUCCAGUUGCUGCCUGCUCUGCCACUGCUCCUUAACCCAAAGCUGGAGACAAGACACCAAAAUAAGGCUGCAGAAAGACACAAUGAGAAACUGUGACCUAGCUUGCUGGCAGAAAAUAGCAAACAGCAAGAUGACCUCCACCUACUAAGUAUUAGAUUGCAAUGCAGGCCUUAGGAUUUGUACCAAAGAAAGAAGAAAUUGAACAAAUGAUAGAUGAAAUAGACCAAGAAGGAGUUGGCACUAUUAAUUUUGAAAUUUUUUUGCCAUUAUGAAUGUAAAAAUGAGUGAAAAAGAUGAAAGAAAUAUCGAAGGCUUUCAAAUUAUUUGAUGAUGAUGACACUGGAAGCAUAACACUAAAUAAUAUAAGGAGGGUUUCCAAGGAACUAGGGGAAAAUUUAACAGACAAUGAACUUCAGGAAAUGUUCAAUGAAGCUGAUUGUGAUAAAGAUGGAGAAAUAAAUGGGAAG
ensembl:lncRNA